rnacentral:lncRNA from 1 species
GGGAAAAUCUUAGAUUGAUAAUCAGACCAUAUGUUGGUUUCUUAAGUUUGUAUGUCCUCUACUCACAAACCAGUGUCUUUCUCUCUGGAAAAAAAAAUAAGAAAGGAAAUAUUGAGCAUUAUUUCUGUGUAUUCCAUUAUACAUGGAAUACCUUGUCCAUAGUUCAGAUGCCUCCUAGCUCCAGAGCCCAUCAUCAACUGAUGAUUCUGCUCUGUAUCACUGAGUUAAAAACCUAGCUGAACUCAUCACUUCUUAGGCAAAAUCUUAAGAUUGAUAAUCAGACCAUAUGUUGGUUUCUUAAGUUUGUAUGUCCUCUACUCACAAACCAGUGUCUUUCUCUCUGGAAAAAAAAAUAAGAAAGGAAAUAUUGAGCAUUAUUCCUGUGCAGAUUCAUAGAGACAGGAGAAGCAGGCUCCAUGCAAGGAGCUCUAGCAGUUUAAGCUAUAAGCAUCAGAUGGGUGUGGAAAGUUCAUUGGUUAACCUACAUAAAGCCUUUGUGUUUCCACCUGCAAUACACUUUUAUCCCUCUUGUCUGCUGGUGAUAUCUAUCCACUUUUCAAAAUGUUAUAGCCUUCAAGAGGACAGGGAUUAUGCUUUGCUUCUUGUUUUAUCUCCAGCCCGGAAAAUAUUAGACAACCUAUAAAUAGCUAUUGAAUUAAUGAAUACAUAUAUUGUUGUCAUUUCCCUUAAAAUCUUUCCUAUUGUUUGCCAAAACGUUUGCCUCCCUUUUACCCUAUUAUUGUACCCUCUAUGCUACCUUUAUUUGAAACUACAAAUAAUGAUGUCUUUAUUUGAUUCCAUCACUUUACUGGACUGCAAGAUCCUUGAGGAAACAUCAUGAUUUAUUAAUUCUGACAGUAUUUCUAACCUAUUGCAGUUUCUGAGAACUGCCUGUUGAACGAAUGACUGAAACGAUGAGCAACUACAACAAGCCCUUUAUACUCCAAUGUCUUUUCUGAUUGAUUUGUCCUUUAGGACAGCAUUGCUUUAUGUAAGGUUAUAUGGUUCUGUAGGAAGCAGAAAUAAGUAAACAUGCACAAAACUUGUCAUUGUGCAGAACAUUCCUCACAACCACAAGCAAAAACAUUUCAGCCUAUUGCUGCUCCUAGUUUGGUUGGACAUCCACUAAAGAAAGUUGUCUUGAUCAUACCCACUCUUUGAAGCCCACUCAGGAGAGUUUGCUAAAGGUCCUGAUACAAAACUUUAACUGAGUUGCCCCCAGGACGCAAUUAUAAAAGUCUGGCCCUAUGGGAUAUAUUAAUUGGCUCUAUUUUAAUAUCCUUUUAUCAAGGCAUACACAUUUCUUUUGUCGGAGAUCAUCUAAAGAGUGUAUCAUAUGCCAAAAAUAAUCAGAUGUAUUGUUCUUCCAUUUCCUUAAUGAACUCCACCAUACUUUGUCUUUUCCAGUAAAUUGCAAGUGACUCACGAUUUGGAAAUUAAUUCUAAAAGAAAGCAACUUUCCAAGCAAGGAAAUGGUAAGUAUUAACUUGAGUGUAGGACCAUAUGUCAGAGUUAAUGCCCAUCAGGGAUUUCUUCCCUAAUGAUUUCUUUCUGCAGCUAAUGAAAAGCAGAGUUUUUGAACUUUGAAUAGUGGCCAAUUCUUUGUAUAUUUACCAACUUGUUUUCAAAGCUAAUUAGUGCUUUACAAGCUAUAAAUAUUUGUAUCUUUUAAAAUAAUAUAUCUCUAUAGAAUAAAAUAGAAGGUGAAAUUCUCUAAAUUCCUAUUCUCUGGAAGUAACACUAAUGAACACUACAAUUUUUUGCACAAUUUGUUUUUAAUAUCAUUUAGGGUUGUC